rnacentral:tRNA from 1 species
UACAUUUUAGUAUAUUUGUACAAAAGUUUUUGAAAUUUUAGGAAGUAGAUUGUUUCUAUUAAAUGUAA